rfam:Mycobacterium brisbanense DNA, contig: contig39, strain: JCM15654.
CGAGGCCCGUGCGGCGUGGCCUCUGCCCGAGCCGGCCCUGGCGUACUUCCCCAACGCCAGGUCCAAGGUUUCGGACAGAGACCUCGUCGCAGGGGCAGGCCAUA